rnacentral:rRNA from 1 species
CAGUAGCCGCGGUAAUACGAAGGGGGCUAGCGUUGUUCGGAAUUACUGGGCGUAAAGCGCACGUAGGCGGAUACUUAAGUCAGGGGUGAAAUCCCGGGGCUCAACCCCGGAACUGCCUUUGAUACUGGGUAUCUCGAGUCCGGAAGAGGUGAGUGGAAUUCCGAGUGUAGAGGUGAAAUUCGUAGAUAUUCGGAAGAACACCAGUGGCGAAGGCGACUGACUGGACAAGUAUUGACGCUGAGGUGCGAAAGCGUGGGGAGCAAACAGGAUUAGAUACCCCUGUAGUCCCUGUCUCUUAUAC